GAUGAACGCUGGCGGCGUGCCUAAUACAUGCAAGUCGAGCGAACAGAUGAGGAGCUUGCUCCUCUGGCGUUAGCGGCGGACGGGUGAGUAACACGUGGAUAACCUGCCUAUAAGACUGGGAUAACUUCGGGAAACCGGAGCUAAUACCGGAUAAUAUAUUGAACCGCAUGGUUCAAUAGUGAAAGACGGUUUUGCUGUCACUUAUAGAUGGAUCCGCGCCGCAUUAGCUAGUUGGUAAGGUAACGGCUUACCAAGGCAACGAUGCGUAGCCGACCUGAGAGGGUGAUCGGCCACACUGGAACUGAGACACGGUCCAGACUCCUACGGGAGGCAGCAGUAGGGAAUCUUCCGCAAUGGGCGAAAGCCUGACGGAGCAACGCCGCGUGAGUGAUGAAGGUCUUCGGAUCGUAAAACUCUGUUAUUAGGGAAGAACAAAUGUGUAAGUAACUAUGCACGUCUUGACGGUACCUAAUCAGAAAGCCACGGCUAACUACGUG
rnacentral:rRNA from 1 species